rnacentral:rRNA from 1 species
GGGGAAUAUUGGACAAUGGGCGCAAGCCUGAUCCAGCCAUGCCGCGUGAGUGAUGAAGGCCCUAGGGUUGUAAAGCUCUUUCGACGGGGACGAUAAUGACGGUACCCGUAGAAGAAGCCCCGGCUAACUUCGUGCCAGCAGCCGCGGUAAUACGAAGGGGGCUAGCGUUGUUCGGAAUCACUGGGCGUAAAGCGCACGUAGGCGGAUUAUUAAGUCGGGGGUGAAAUCCCGAGGCUCAACCUCGGAACUGCCUUCGAUACUGGUAAUCUUCGAGUCCGGGAGAGGUGAGUGGAACUCCGAGUGUAGAGGUGAAAUUCGUAGAUAUUCGGAAGAACACCAGUGGCGAAGGCGGCUCACUGGCCCGGUACUGACGCUGAGGUGCGAAAGCGUGGGGAGCAAAC